rnacentral:lncRNA from 1 species
UUAAGGAUGUACACCUCUGAGGAGCCAAAAAUUUCUAGAAUUAAACUUUUUUUCUUAACCUGAUUUUUGGGUUUAUAAGACUGUAACAAAAUAAUUGGUGAAGAAAAAAUCAUAUGGUGGAAGACUUCUUUUUUUUGCUACGGCCCUUUGAAAAUGCCCAAUUUUGAUGAUUUUCCCAUUUUUCAUCGAUUUUUACCUAUUUUUGGGCUAUUAUCAUGAAAAAAAUCACAGUUCCACAAUUAAACUUUUUCUCAUACUUUCUAUAAAGAUGAAGUGGACCAAUCUGAAUAAAUUUUACUUACAAAAACUAUAGGUAGGUGUUAAUAUAAGAAAGUUUUAUCAUAUUUUGAGGCUUUUUUGUGUAAAAUUUACCAUGCUGUCAAUUUUGUAUUUUUGUGAUUUUUCUCAGUUUUAAGAACAAAAUGCAUAUUAUUUCAACUUUUUUGUUAUAAAUGAAUGAAAAAAGACAUAUCUAAGUAAUUUGAAAAGACCAAAAUGAUAUGGGAUGUACAUGAUUCUUGUAAAAUCAUUUUUUGUAUCCCUCACCCAUUUUCUCAAAAUUUUGGCUAAAAAUACUGACUUGCUUGGUCGUGAAAUUUGAAA